rnacentral:rRNA from 1 species
GAUGAACGCUAGCGGCAGGCCUAAUACAUGCAUGUCGGACGGGAUUUGGGAGCUUGCUCCUAAUGAGAGUGGCGCACGGGUGCGUAACACGUAUGUAACCUACCUUAAUCAGGGGAUAGCCUCUCGAAAGGGAGAUUAACACCGCAUAAUACAUUUUUAUGGACUCGUAGAAAUAUUAAAUAUUUAUAGGAUUAAGUUGGGCAUGCGGAACAUUAGCUAGUUGGUAAGGUAACGGCUUACCAAGGCUACGAUGUUUAGGGGAUCUGAGAGGAUGACCCCCCACACUGGUACUGAGACACGGACCAGACUCCUACGGGAGGCAGCAGUAAGGAAUAUUGGUCAAUGGGCGCAAGCCUGAACCAGCCAUGCCGCGUGCAGGAAGACGGCCCUAUGGGUUGUAAACUGCUUUUGUACCGGAAUAAACCCUUUUACGUGUAAGAGGCUGAAUGUACGGUAAGAAUAAGGAUCGGCUAACUCCGUGCCAGCAGCCGCGGUAA